GUUUUGCUGUGCAUUUUUCAGUAAGCAUAUUGUCCACCACACGUAUCAUUCUUUCUCUUCCCCAAACAAAUGUGCAUUCACAACAAUGCCAGUUGAAUUUUCUACGUGGCAACUCUCUAUAGGCUCGAAAAUUUUGCUUCAUUGGAUGCUAUUACAACCCAUUAUUUAUUUAAAAUAAAUAAAUAAAUUUCCCUCAUAACCCAAAACAGGGUCAGGUUUUAUGCCGCGUUUCCAGAACCAGAAGCUGUCUGGCGUCCACUCUCCACCCCUACAUUAUUUUACACUGCACGUUGCAAUAUACAUAUAAUCCGGUGCUCUGUCUGCGUGAAUCUUUGCUGCUACUGAACUGCUGAUCGUUUGUUUAAUUUAAUGUAAACAAAACGAUAACAGUUCCAGUUCAAACAGUCUACACGUACUGUGCCCGAAAGCGCCUUGUUGUAUCUCUUUUCCUUCCCUUCCCCCUCACACAUACCUCCAUAACAAUGGUGUUACUGUCUUCUCUAUCUGAACUCUUCCUCCUCUUCUUUUUGUUCACAUUCCCAAAUCUCUGCUACUCCAUCCCUGUAAACACCUCCACAGAGUACCUCAAGCUCCCAUUGCUCCACAGAACCCCAUUCACUUCCCCUGCUCAAGCCCUCUUUUUUGAUAUCCGCCGCCUUUCUCUCCUCCACCAGCGGCCCUCUUUCAAAUCCCCUAUAGUAUCCGGCGCCUCCUACGGCUCUGGUCAGUACUUUGUCUCGUUACGCCUCGGUUCUCCCCCUCAAACUCUGCUCUUAGUUGCCGAUACUGGCAGCGAUCUUGUCUGGAUCAAAUGUUCUGCCUGCAAAAACUGUUCCAACUACUUCCCAGGAUCUGCAUUCCUCGCUCGCCAAUCCUCCACGUUCUCCCCAAUUCACUGUUUCAGCUCACUGUGCCAACUCGUUCCCCACCCGCUCCCCAAUCAUUGUAACCACACUCUCUUACAUAGUCCAUGUCGAUACGAGUACCUAUACGCUGAUGGCUCGAAGACGACUGGAUUCUUCUCCAAAGAAACCACAAAGUUACAAAUAAGUACCGGAAGGGAGAAAAAGCUGAAAAGUUUAGCAUUCGGGUGCGGGUUUCGGAUCUCAGGUCCGAGCCUUACGGGUGCGAGCUUCAAGGGUGCCCAUGGGGUGAUGGGUUUGGGCAGAGCACCCAUUUCGUUUUCUUCCCAGCUGGGUCGUCGUUUUGGUAACAAGUUCUCCUACUGUCUCAUGGACUACACUCUCUCUCCGCCUCCCACUAGUUAUCUCAUAAUCGGCGGACACCAAAGCAACGUCUUCUCGAAGAAGAGAAGCAUGAACUUCACGCCAUUACUGGUAAACCCUCUAUCGCCCACAUUUUACUUCAUUGGUAUCAAGAGCGUAUAUGUGGACGGUAUAAAGUUACCGAUCAAUCCCUCUGUUUGGUCAAUUGACCAGUUGGGUAACGGAGGUACGAUCAUUGAUUCAGGCACGACAUUGACUUUCAUAGCAAAACCAGCUUACCGUGAGAUUCUAAAAGCGUUUAAACGGCGGAUUAAGCUACCAAAUGCAGCCGAGGCAACUCCGGAUUUCGAUCUUUGCGUGAACGUGUCUGGUGUGUCAAGACCCCCUCUACCCAGAAUGAGUUUCGAGCUCACUGGGGACUCGGUUUUUUCACCUCCAUCAAGGAAUUACUUCGUCGAUACUGAUGACGGAGUCAAGUGUUUAGCGAUUCAACCCGUUCACUCGGAUGGCGAUUUUUCGGUGUUAGGGAAUCUGAUGCAACAAGGAUAUUUGUUGGAGUUCGAUAGAGACAAAUC
rnacentral:misc_RNA from 1 species